CAGGGGGAGUUGGAAAGUGGGAUGGACACAGUCAAGACACAAUGCAUAUAUAAAACUGUCAAAGACAUUCAAUAACGACAUCUCUCGGGAAUGGACUCCCCACAGCAGCUGGCCUACUGCAGAAGAUCCGGCCAGUCCCAGUUUCAGCCCGGACUAAGGAGCUCUGAGAGUCGUCCCGCCACUGAGAAGCUGCUGACCGCUCCCAGCCACCGAGGACAGGCCACUUUUGGGUAUGAUCAUGGCCGGUGGGUAACCCCAUGUCCAUUCAUACAUGGUUAGCUUUAACUGGUCUUGGAGCUACAGACAUUUUGUUUUUAAAGACUCGGAGAGAUGGCUCAGCAGUUAAGAGAGCAGAGCUCUUGCAAAGGUCCUGCCUCACUGCCCAGAGCUUGUCAGGCAACUCUCCACCUUCCGCAACUCCAUUUCCAGAGGACAUGGUGCCCUCAAGAGGCACCUGCACACAUGUGGUGCACAUACAUUCACACAAGUCACACACAUGCACACCCAUAAACAAACAAAUCUUUACAAAAAUAAGAGAUGAGGUUGGGAGGGAGAUGGCUGGUGGGUAAGACUACACAUGUACCAAAAAAAAAAAAAAAAA
rnacentral:lncRNA from 1 species